AAGCAUGUGAAUGCUGGUAGAGCUGUUCGCUAGUGCAGAUCUUGGUGGUAGUAGCAAUUACUCAAAUGAGAACUUUGAGGGCCUAUGUGGAGAAGGGUUUCAUGUGAACAUGAGUUGUACAUGAGUUAGUCGGUCCUAAGCACACCCUGAAAUGGAAGCACAAGAA